UACGUAGGGUGCAAGCGUUUGUCCGGAAUUAUUGGGCGUAAAGAGCUCGUAGGCGGUUUGUUGCGUCGGCUGUGAAAUCCCGAGGCUCAACCUCGGGUCUGCAGUCGAUACGGGCAAACUAGAGUGUUGCAGGGGAGACUGGAAUUCCUGGUGUAGCGGUGAAAUGCGCAGAUAUCAGGAGGAACACCGGUGGCGAAGGCGGGUCUCUGGGGCAACAACUGACGCUGAGGAGCGAAAGCGUGGGGAGCGAACAGG
rnacentral:rRNA from 1 species